CAACAGGGCCCACCACCAAAGAAGAGAGGGCGUCCUCCAAAGAAUAGAGACAUAGACAACUCGCCCAAGAAAGCGCCAGCUGCAGCACCUCCAUCCGAGUCUCCUGCCCAAGAAACUACCUCAAAGAUGUCAUCGCCGCCCACUAAGGCUCUGGCUGAUGUCAAACAAGAGAAGAAGUCUCCUAUAAAAGAGUCACGUAGUUCAAAGAAAUCUCAGUUGAAGCAAAAUGAAAUAGAACUUCCCAAAGAGAGUGAUCUAGCAAGUAAGCAGACAUUCCUUAAACUGAAAACGGACUUAGAAUCGGGUACUCUAAAUGCAGAUGAUUAAAAGAG